rnacentral:rRNA from 1 species
GAUGAACGCUGGCGGCGUGCCUAAUACAUGCAAGUCGAGCGAACAGACGAGGAGCUUGCUCCUCUGACGUUAGCGGCGGACGGGUGAGUAACACGUGGAUAACCUACCUAUAAGACUGGGAUAACUUCGGGAAACCGGAGCUAAUACCGGAUAAUAUAUUGAACCGCAUGGUUCAAUAGUGAAAGACGGUUUCGCUGUCACUUAUAGAUGGAUCCGCGCCGCAUUAGCUAGUUGAUAAGGUAACGGCUUACCAAGGCAACGAUGCGUAGCCGACCUGAGAGGGUGAUCGGCCACACUGGAACUGAGACACGGUCCAGACUCCUACGGGAGGCAGCAGUAGGGAAUCUUCCGCAAUGGGCGAAAGCCUGACGGAGCAACGCCGCGUGAGUGAUGAAGGUCUUCGGAUCGUAAAACUCUGUUAUUAGGGAAGAACAAAUGUGUAAGUAACUAUGCACGUCUUGACGGUACCUAAUCAGAAAGCCACGGCUAACUACGUG